UUCACUCGUUUCGAUCACCUGCCCCACCCGCGGUUGCGUGAACUGCCGCACACCUUUUCCCUCCGCGCUGGGUCGCGGACUGCGCCGGCUCCGCAUCUCUACAGGGAGGCUGCUGCUCCAAGAAUUGAUGCUGCCUUUCAAGUGGCAGCGAGGAUGCAGGUGUUGAUGGUGUAACGGGAUCCGAUGUUGCUAGAAGAGCAUCUCCUUACACAGCGCGAGAACAUCCGCAGGGCGCGGCACUGUGCAGCAGCAGCAACUGCUGGAGACUCCAGGCAUUCCUCCCGCUCGUGAUGACUGCCGUACACUAGUGCUCAGCAUGAGGGAUGGAGACCACAAACAGCAUGCAGUUCUCUGUGUGUGAGAGAGAGAGAGUGUGUGUGUAUGUGUGAGUGCGUGCGCUCUGUGUGUGUGUGUGUUUUGUUGUUUGGGUGUAAUAUUGUUAUGUUUAAUGCUGUGUAUAUUUUUAACUAGUUAUUUUUGUCCUAUCAAAAAAACACACAUACUUGCUUGUAAUAAGAAACACGAGGAGCAAUUAAAAUAUUUUUGUCUGAAUA